UAAGACCUACGGGACACUAUCCCGCAUCUUCUGCAUGCAAAACAGA
rnacentral:tRNA from 1 species